UACGUAGGGGUCUAGCGUUGUCCGGAAUCAUUGGGCGUAAAGAGCGUGUAGGCGGUCCGGUAAGUCCGCUGUGAAAGUCGGGGGCUCAACCCUCGAAUGCCGGUGGAUACUGUCGGGCUAGAGUGCGGAAGAGGCGAGUGGAAUUCCUGGUGUAGCGGUGAAAUGCGCAGAUAUCAGGAGGAACACCGGUGGCGAAGGCGGGUCUCUGGGCCGGAACUGACGCUAAGGAGCGAAAGCGUGGGGAGCGAACAGG
rnacentral:rRNA from 1 species